rnacentral:rRNA from 1 species
CGCCUGUUUAUCAAAAACAUGGCUCUCUGUAUAUUGAAGAUAGAGAGUCGGACCUGCCCGGUGAAUUUUUUAACGGCCGCGGUACUCUGACCGUGCAAAGGUAGCAAAAUCAUUUGCCUUAUAAUUGAAGGCUAGAAUGAAUGGUUUGACAAGAAUACAACUGUCUCUUUACAAUUACAUAAAAUUUUAUCUGCAGUUGAAGAAGCCUGCAUUUGAAUAAAAGACAAGAAGACCCUAUCGAGCUUAAAAAAAACUGGUGGAAUAACAAACUUAAUCCUAACUUAUAAAUAAAUAAAUAGUCAACUACUGGAAAUUUUGGUUGGGGCGACCGGGGAACAAAAAAAACUUCCUUUAUAAAAAUUUAGAUGCCCAAAUAUUGAUCCAGCAUUAUAUGAUUAAAGAAAUUAGUUACUCGUAGGGAUAACAGCAUUAUCUUUUUUAAGAGUUCUUAUCGAAAAAAAGGUUUGUGACCUCGAUGUUGGACCAGAAUAUCGCUAAAGAUGCAGCCGUCUUUAAGGGUUGGUCUGUUCGACCAUUAAAAUUCUACGUGAUCUGAGUUCA